AUAAGUGUAUAGACUUGCAGAAAUAAAGAGAGAGAAGAUACAUCUGAACUGGGGCUUCUUGUCCUCCUUGCCGGUCGAAGGUGACAAGACAAGAUGCCAUUGCCUUGCAUUGGGACCCAGAAGAGCAUGGGAUACACAUAUCCCUCCACAUGUAAAUGUGUGCAUUCUCACAAGUCCAUUUGCAGCAUUUGAUAGCAGGUUUUCAGAAACAGUCUCAGAAACCGUUGUUUUGGGCCUGAUUUUUAUGAAGACAGAUAGGGGCAUAUUUAAAAGUUUUAAGAGCACCCUAUUAUAGUAUAUGAUACUAUUGGAUGAAAAAAAUUCUUAAAAAGAGACCACAAGUAGGUGGAGAGGCAGGCAGAGAAGAGAGGA